rnacentral:lncRNA from 1 species
AUCAUCUUGUGAGCAUCUGGGCCAAGUUCAGGGCUGGUGCUCUCGUUCAGAUAGAUUUAGCUGGUGGUGCAGAGAUCCGUGAGCUUGCUUUUACAGGACUUUAAUGAUAUAUAAAAGCAGCACGAGGUGCUCCUGACUGUGGAUUAAUUUGGAGAUGACUUUCUCUGUUGAAGAGUAGCAAGACUCUCGCGAGUUCUUAAAAAUGCACUUGUUUGGUAUGAGAAUGAAAAGCAGUGGCUGAAGAACCAAUCUUCAAUGGGCAAGCCUUCUCUGUGUCUGUUCUAACACGUGCCAUUUGGGAUCCCUUGGAAUCUUCAUGUACAGAACUGGUUGCUGCCUCGUUGAGUCGGUGGGGACAGAAUAGCUCCUGGUUGACAGCAUGGGUUGUGCAGAAGGACGGAUCCUGCAGACAUCAAUAUCUGGCUUUGAGUGGCACAAAGAAAUAAAGGAAUGUGGAUUCAGACCUCACUGGGAUGCUUGGCAAUUCUAAUUCUACCCCAGACUGCAAAUGGACACACAACUGUUGUGACUUUUGUUGAAGAGGAGAAGGAUGGGUGAGCAUGUGACGUUGGGAAAUUGUAUUUUCUUCUUCGAGUUCUUCUGUUUCCGAAUAUUUAAUCCUACUGUUUUCUUCUUUAGUGAAGGUCUCUUUAGUCAAUAAUCUCUUUGCUGAAAUUGCUUCGGGCAGCACAGAAGCUGGAUUCAGAAGCACACAGGUCUGGGGAUGCAGGCUUCGGCCAGCCUGAUGCAAGGAAAGACUGCCAUCUCGUGGUCAGCUCAAUCCUGGCACCUUGGUGAGGGACCAGGCUGCAGAAAACCAGGCUUGGGGAGGAAACGGUGCUGCAAACUGGAUUUCUGCCGGACAGUGUGGAUGCCCUUAGAAAACACCCAGAAAAGAGCUGAGUGCCCCCCAAGACUUGCCCUGAAUUCUUUCAUGUGCAAUAUCCGAAAACCCUCUCUUGGGGCCUGGAUCAGGACCCCUUUCCUAUAACAUCUUUCUGGCGACAACAAAGGGACAAUGGUGUGGAAUCCCCCUUCCCAAAUGCUACUUUUAGAUAUCACCUUUUGUCGGAACUUGGAGUUGGUAAUGACCUUCACCAUACCACCACUCUGGGACUGAGCUUCUCUCUACCCUGAUGCAAGAGACCCUAAUAGGCAGGAAUAUGACCACCCCUAUUCAGCCUGAAGAAGUUACAGAAGUUCUGAAACCCUUAGAAAUGAGGGUCUUCUUGUAAAGGGAGUGGGGAGAUAUAUCAGAGGCAUUUGAACCAGAGCAACUCCAUCUUGAGUGAGGGCUAGGAAAAUGAGGCUAGGACUUGCUGGGCUGCAUUCUCAGAAAGUCAGUCAUUCCUAGCCUCUAGAUGUUUACGGUUAAGGGAACAAAUUUAUAACAUUUACUAAACACACCCAGACUUGGGAGUGUCCAGAUAUCCCAAUAUCUGGAGAACAAAGGCAUUCCUAAUUUUGCUUUAAAGACAAUAAUAUUGAUUCUUGCAAAAUAUAGUAAUUAAGAAAAUUAAUCCUUUAUCACAAACCCUUGUAGUAAAACACAUCUCCCCAUAUAUACAAGCAUUGUACCUAAGGUGGAUGCGUUCCAUCUCUUACUUUCAGGAAUGUCCUACACUAUCUAAGGAGUAGCUGUACUUUCACC